CCUUCGGUGGGCAGCAGUGAGGAAUAUUGGUCAAUGGGCGAGAGCCUGAACCAGCCAAGUCGCGUGAGGGAGUACUGCCCUAUGGGUUGUAAACCUCUUUUGUCGGGGAGCAAAAGCCGGACGUGUCCGGCUGUGAGAGUACCCGAAGAAAAAGCAUCGGCUAACUCCGUCCAAGCAGCCGCGGUAAUACGGAGGAUGCGAGCGUUAUCCGGAUUUCGUGGGUGUAAAGGGGGCGCAGGCGGGUUGUUGAGUCAGCGGUCAAAUCGUGGGGCUCAACCCGAUCCAGCCUUUGAAACUGGGGAUCUAGAGUGUGCUGGAGGUAGGCGGAAGGCGUGGUGUAGCGGUGAAAUGCAUAGAUAUCACGCAGAACCCCGAUUGCGAAGGCAGCAUACCGGUGCACAACUGACGCUCAGGCACGAAAGCGUGGGUAUCGAACAGGAUUAGAUACCCCUGUAGUA
rnacentral:rRNA from 1 species